rnacentral:rRNA from 1 species
UACGAAGGGGGCUAGCGUUGUUCGGAAUUACUGGGCGUAAAGGGCGCGUAGGCGGCUUCGAUAGUCGGGUGUGAAAUGCCUGGGCUCAACCCAGGAAUUGCACUCGAAACUCCGAGGCUUGAGUGUGGGAGAGGUUGGUGGAAUUCCCAGUGUAGAGGUGAAAUUCGUAGAUAUUCGCAAGAACACCAGUGGCGAAGGCGGCUCACUGGCCCGAUACUGACGCUGAGGCACGAAAGCGUGGGGAGCAAACAGG